GCUGCAAAAUGGUUGUGGGCCCUGUCCACCUUACCAAGUCCGCUGGAGCCGCAGGUGCCCGCAAGAACCCGCAGUCUCGCAAACCCUCGCCGCCGUCCCACUCUAGUCCGCCUGCCACCGUCGCAUUCCUCUGCUGCUCCGUCUAUCUUCCCGGGAGCGGUGCACACCCAGGCUCCCAGCGUGCGCACCUCUGGCUGCUCUCCCCGCAGGUGCCCGCUCGCGGCACCCUCAGCGUCAGCCGGCCCUGAGGCCUCAGUCCAGCGCAUCCUCCCUCUUCCCCAAAGAUUAGAAGAAAGGAUGUGCUUGAAGUAACAAGAAGCUUUUUAACUACACCUUUUUUGAAGGAAGAAGAAGAGGCUUUGUGAGAUACUAAGUUGUAUUGCAAUGCUUGCAUUCCUUGCAUGGAUUGGAUCAGACGUCUUCUGUAUACACGGCAACUAACCAAAGAUUAGCCUCCAGCACGUAAUUUUAUUUGUUGCCUUUUCAGUUAGUCACCGUGUAAAUCUAUACGUAGUGAAGAUCGCGGUCGCCGGCAGCAGCGGCAGCAAAAAUCUGUCUGUCUUCUCUACCUGUAUGGCAAAAAUCAGCUGACGCGAUAGCUACUGCACGCUGUGGGGCUGGCGGCUGUUACAAAAGCUCUUUAUUUGAUCUCAUCAAAGCAGCUAUCAAGACCAUGGUAACAGCCAUGGUUAAGGAUAUAAAUUGAGUUUAUUGUUAUGCUAUGAAUGAGUUUUAUGGCUGCCAUUAGAAAGAGAAACUGAUAUUCUAAAUGCCUAGUCUUAACUAGGUUGUAAUCUCCCUAUAUAAAGGGACCUUGAGAUCAAUGAGAAAAUUUGCUCCAUUCACUA